rnacentral:rRNA from 1 species
CUACUUGACCUAGCGGCGGACGGGUGAGUAAUGCUUAGGAAUCUGCCUAUUAGUGGGGGACAACAUCUCGAAAGGGAUGCUAAUACCGCAUACGUCCUACGGGAGAAAGCAGGGGACCUUCGGGCCUUGCGCUAAUAGAUGAGCCUAAGUCGGAUUAGCUAGUUGGUGGGGUAAAGGCCUACCAAGGCGACGAUCUGUAGCGGGUCUGAGAGGAUGAUCCGCCACACUGGGACUGAGACACGGCCCAGACUCCUACGGGAGGCAGCAGUGGGGAAUAUUGGACAAUGGGGGGAACCCUGAUCCAGCCAUGCCGCGUGUGUGAAGAAGGCCUUUUGGUUGUAAAGCACUUUAAGCGAGGAGGAGGCUACCGAGAUUAAUACUCUUGGAUAGUGGACGUUACUCGCAGAAUAAGCACCGGCUAACUCUGUGCCAGCAGCCGCGGUAAUACAGAGGGUGCAAGCGUUAAUCGGAUUUACUGAGCGUAAAGCGCGCGUAGGUGGCCAAUUAAGUCAAAUGUGAAAUCCCCGAGCUUAACUUGGGAAUUGCAUUCGAUACUGGUUGGCUAGAGUAUGGGAGAGGAUGGUAGAAUUCCAGGUGUAGCGGUGAAAUGCGUAGAGAUCUGGAGGAAUACCGAUGGCGAAGGCAGCCAUCUGGCCUAAUACUGACACUGAGGUGCGAAAGCAUGGGGAGCAAACAGGAUUAGAUACCCUGGUAGUCCAUGCCGUAAACGAUGUCUACUAGCCGUUGGGGCCUUUGAGGCUUUAGUGGCGCAGCUAACGCGAUAAGUAGACCGCCUGGGGA